AGCAGCAUGGCGCAGCUGGAAGCGCGCAGGGCCCAUACUCUCGUCACCCUGAGGUCACUCGAUCGAAACGAGUUGCUGCUA